rnacentral:lncRNA from 1 species
GAAUUCUUAGGCAAAUGCUUCAUGAUCGCCACCUCCCGCCUCACAUCCUCCACAUCCACCGCCGUCCGGAGCUUCCUCUUCGAAAUAGACUUGCAGGCGAGCAGCUCCCUAGUGUCGCGAUCGAUGCACAGGUAAGUCACGCCGAACUCCCCCCGGCCUAACUCCCUAUCCACCAUGUACUUCUCCUCGAUCCCAUCCUUGGACACCCCAUUCAACACCGUGAUCGUCUUCUUGCCAGCUCCGGCGUCCUUCCGACCGUGAUCGUGGCCGGAAUAGUUAGCCGACUUCACAUCCUCCCUGGCAACGGCUGCCGGAGAUCUGCAACAGUUCCCCAUCAAAUCACAGCAAAAAUUGAACACAAAACCGAAUCUCCUAAAACCCUAACC